AAGAUAAUAUCAUUAAUAUAAUAUUCGGUUACAUGUUUUUUCAGUUACUUGUUCGUAAUACAAAAAUCAUUAUGACUACAUACAAAAAGACAAGUAAAUAACAUGUUUUCUAGUCUAUGCUUUCUUCUUUCCUUUCCUCUUAGAGCCAGAGCUCUCUUGAUUUCCAUCCUUAGCUGCAAAUAGGGAUUUAUUCGCAAGAGUGAGCAAAAUUUGCUCAACAAGUCUAAACACGAACUCACACUAAUAUGGAUUUAAAUGAAUUAUAGCUCAACAAAAGAUAUCACGAUUGUUUUAACAUAGCAAAACUGAGUGGUAAUUAAACCAAGAACUAAUGUUCGUCCAUGUUUCGACUUAGAAUCAUACAGUGGAUAUCUAUAGGGGAUCAACCUAACGACAUCCUAUGUUAUUCAUAGCAUACACUACACUGGACUACUCAUGAACAGUGUUUAAAUCGGUUACCCGACACAUCAUAUUUACCCCAAUGAAUAAGGGUUGUUCAUCUCGUUUUACUUUACAUGUAGAGGUAGCCCCAAAAUAAUUUGAUUUGACUAAAUAGCUCAUAUAAAGAAAUAUAGCAAUUCAGUACUUCACGAAUAAACGUUCAUUUCUUAAGUUAUGCCGAAACUAGUAGCAAUAACUUCAUCCAAGAAUUUAUAACACGUUGCACAAGGUGCAUAAAUAUCAUACAAAACUGGUAAUAUAAAUUUGGGUAGAAGACUUGCCUCAAAACGUCUCUUAUACUACGUUAAGUUCUCGUCGUUCAUAUGGUCUAUAUUGUUCAUUAGGUUGAAAUAUGGUUAGUCAUAAUCAGGACUUUACAAUUUUUUAGUAUACUCUAAUUAAUCUUUAGUAUGAAUUAAAUACUUAACAAUACCAUGACCGCAAAAUUACUUAUAACUUGAUGUUACUAGCAUAAAUUAGCUAGGCCACCAUCACAUAAUAACUUAAUGAAAACUAGUUUCAUAAGUUCUUUGAUAUUCUAUGACUUCUAUUUAAGAACAUAAGAACAUAAUUUAAAAUUACAACGUAAAUUUUUUAUUACCUCUUGACGUGCAAGCUUUACGUUUCUUAAAGACGCAAGACUUUAGCUUUCCUUCUCUCAAUUAUCUCACCAUAGUAAUUGCUCUUUGUUAUUGUGAAUUGGUAAGGAUUUAAGCUUGUAAAGCCUCCUAUUUAUAGGCAAGCAAGAGUUGGGGUAAAAUAGUCCAUACACAAUAAUCUAUGACAUCGUUGCUUACAUCAUCGUCCUUUAUGACAUCAUUGCUUACAUCAUCGUCCUUUAUGACAUCAUUGCUUACAUCAUCAUCUUACAUGAC
rnacentral:lncRNA from 1 species